rnacentral:lncRNA from 1 species
CCCCUGCCACCGCCACCACCACCAUCGCCACCACGGGGAGGCCUCUCGCCUACUUGGCCCGCUCCCCUCUUGGACGCUUGGCCGGGGGGAACUUGGGGCGAUCGUAUCUGGCAGCCACUGGCAGCCACAUCUGGAGACUGCUGGCCUCAGGGCUGUUUGCUUCUGCUCCCGGGUGGGACAGAUCUAUCAGAAAAAAGAAAGGGCAGAGACUUGAAGAUUUGGUGGGCGUUUGUGUGGGGAGAGGAGAAGGGUAGGCUGUUUUCGAGAGGGGCCAAGGGGGGUUGUUUUAGAUUCAUGCUUGAGUGAGGACCUGGUGAGGAUGGCACCACCGACCUCCGCAGUUCCCCUAUUCAGCCCCCACCCCACCCCCGCCUCGACUCUCUGCCACCCAAACAACCCCUUGUCAGAGGCUUCACGUAUUCCUUUUCCCGUCAACCCCGGCGACGUUUGCAAAACUUCUGCACCUUGUCUGGUUGAUGAAUUGGCUUUCUUGUUGAAUAGAUUUUCAGGCUGCAUUAAGACUGUGGACCACAAACCUCCAGGAAGUGAUGCAGAGCAAAAGGAGCAGAACCAGGAGAACAUUGUACACAGAGACUGAUACACUGUGGUACAAUUGAAUGUAAUGGACUUCUCCAUUAGUGGCAAUGCAAUGUCCCUGAACAAACUGGAGGAAUCUAUGAGAAACAAACAAACAAACAAACAAACAAACAAACACUAUCCACAUGCAGAGAAAAACCUGUGGGAGUAAAAACACAGAAGAAAAGCAACAGCUUGACUACAGGGCUCGAGGGGCAUAUGAUUGGGGAUGUAGACCCUAAAUGAACAUCCCAGUGCAAACAUCAACAGCAUGGAAAUAGGUUCUGAUCAAGGACACAUGCAAUGCCCAGUGGAAUUGUGCGUCGACUAUGGGAAGGGUGGCGGGAGGGGAGGGAGGAAAAGAAAAUGAUUUUUGUAUCCAAGGAAUAAUGUUAGAAAUUGAACAAAUAAAAUAAUGUUUAAAAUCUAAAAAAAAAAAUGG